rnacentral:lncRNA from 1 species
UCAGAUACACUAUGCUGAGGUUGAGGACCAGAUACACUAUGCUGAGGCUGAGGAUCAGAUACACUAUGCUGAGGACCAGAUACACUAUGCUGAGGCUGAGGAUCAGAUACACUAUGUUGAGGUUGAGGAUCAGAUACAUCUCCUUCCUGUCUUCAGGGCAA